UUUACAAGAUCGCGGAUACUCGGCAGAAGGUGGCAACAAUCCAAGCUUUUCGAAUCCCAAAAUAGAAUGGCUACAUUAGCUGCUGGCUGAGGUUUGCAGCAGUGCAGCAGACGUUUGUCGCGGCUUAGAAGCCCCGAAGAAGUUUUGUGAACCGAGAAGAGACCGGUCGAAAAAUAUUUUCUCCACCGGUUGCGGUCGGGAUAAAUUUCUCGAGUUUCACCGCCAUCCUGGACACUUUUCCUGGACCACAUGAGCAAGUCAGGAGCAGAAAAGUGGCGGCCAAUGGCCAUUUCUAAUCCAUCAACACGCUUAAGAAUGGCGCGUUCAAUGCCUCAUUGGGUUAUGGCACAAGAACAAUCAAAAUCAGCAGAAAAAUCACGACGACCGCCAACACCACCUAAAAUCCCGCCACCAUCUCUAACCGGGGACUGCGGCGAUCCCGACUACGAAGUAAUCGAGUUUACAGGAAACCCCCAGCAGAUUUCGAGGACUAAUAAUAACGGAAAAGCAUUAGAACUUACAAGAAUAACAUCAAGAAACAACAAUAAUAAUGUCAAUAAAUGUGCUCUGUGUGGCGCGCAUAAUUUGUUCGCAAGAUGUGACGCGUGCAAUGAAAAUUUUUGUGAGACUUGCGACGACAUGAAUCAUAAACAUCCCAAACGACGUAGUCAUGUACGCAGACGAAUUGUAACUGAUCAUAACCAGAUGAAUUUUCGUACUAGACCACCAUUACCACCCAAAGGCGAAACUCCACUGAAUCCUCCAGUACCACCGCCGAGAAGAAAUCGUAGAAAUACUCAGGCAAGGCCAUCGGUUAAUCAAGAUCCAGGAGGCAUCUCGUUUUCCGAUAAAGUUGGAAGUUUGAAAAGAAACAACGUCAAUGUCCAAGGAAGACCACUGCCGUCUGCGCCAGAAUCAUCGUUAAUUACAUCUAAGUCCGUCCAGUCGCUUAAUACUUCUAAUAAUGCUAAUGAUCCCAAUGGAGCUGGCAUGGAUAAAAUGUCAACACUUCAGGAGAGAUAUAGGAAGUAUCAAGAAGCUAUGAGAGCUCAGGAUGCAAAUAGAAGAAGAAUUCCCACACCAGAAUCUUCUAGAGAAGCUCCAAGUCCUAGACCGGUGAGUCUUGACAGUUCUAGAGGUAAUUUGAUGGUACCUCCGCCACCUCCAAGAACUGGAAUGAUGCAAUCGUCGAGUGUUUGUGACUUGUCAUCUCAGAACUUAUGGAACCCAGCAAUGCAACAGGCUCAGUCGAUGGCUCAUCUGACUCAGCGUAUGCCGAUGAUGUGGUACCCACCACCAGGAAGUCCAUGGGACAAUCCAAUCAGUGGUUCUACCAUGAGCUUGAAUCAUCCAGCAAUGUGGGGUUAUCCGAUGGGUUAUAAUCAAGCAAUGUUACCUCCUCAUUAUCCGUCAGCUAAUGUAUCCAGGUGUCCUAGUCCAGCGAGAAGCUACAAGUCUGGCAGACGCAGUAGAGCUGCUUCGCCGUCGUUCAGCCAAAAGUCGAGAAAAUCUGUAGUGUCGAGAGUAAGGCGGUCACCGAAUUCGACUGACGCGAGUUCUGAAGAAUCUGAUGACUCUGAUUUCGAUGAUCAGUUGUCUAGAAGCUCGAGAAAUCUUCGGAGGGGCAGUGUAUCCUCGAGGCGAAUCACAGGAUAUCAUGAUGUUGAUGACAAUAGGUCGACAAUGUCUCGAAGUCGUCGAGGAACUUGGAGAUCUGAGGACAGAAUUAACGGAAUCAAUUCUUCAUCAUCACGAAAUUUGGACUAUGAAGAUUUAGAGUUCCGUUCAGUGUCUUCUAGACAGCAGUCAGAGAAUGACGAUCUUCGCAGAAGAAGAAAUACAAUGGAUCAUUAUUUAUCUUCGCGACAAAAUUCCGAAACUGAUGAUAGCCGUGGCCGUAAACGUACUGAGCCUACAAAUGUUAAUCCAGACUCACGAUCGCGUUUAAUGUCUUCUCGACAUAACUCAGAGACUGAAGAUGAUCAUAGAUUGCGACGCAAAACAGAAUCUUUUAAUAAUGAUGAGAAACUAAUGAAAAAUAAUGGGACAUUACGAAGUCGUCGAAAGUCUAAUGCUGAAUACGAACGUGAAGUUUUAAACAAAAAAACGAAUUCAAAUACUACACGAAACAGACUUGCCAAUUCGUCUGAUAGUUCUGGCGAAUUAAUUACGACUAAUAAUAGUAAUAAUAAACGCGCUGAAUCAGUUGUUAGGGAAAUAAAAAAAUCUCCAUUGAGAGAAGUAAGAAAGUCAGUUGAAAGAGAAGUUAUCAGGGAACCAACUCCUAAAGAAUCAAUAAAAGAACCAACUCCAGAGAAAAAUUAUAAAGUACAGCCCGAUGAAAAUAUUAAACAAGAUAAAAUUAAUGAAGCAACAUCUUCGGUAUCUCAGAUUAAAGAAACUUCUCAACAACCAACAACAGAAGAAAAGACUGAAGAAGAUAAAGAAUGGGCAUGCGAACAUUGUACGUUCAUAAAUGAAGCUAAAGAGCGGGUUUGUAUUGUCUGCUGUAAAACAAAACGGAGUGCGCUUCCUCCCAGCCCGGAGAAUACUCCAGAAUCUUCAGAAAACGUUCAAGAAUCCACACCUGAGCCUUCAACAAAGGUUUCUAGCAUAAAAAUGUCCAAUGGCGAAGAAAGCGGGGACAGCGCUGCGACUACCCAAAGCAAAGAUGUAGAAAUAGUCAAAAAUGACCAAGAAUUAAAUUCAAACAUUAUUGAAGACAAUCAAACAAAUAAGUUAGAAUCGGUAUUAAAUUCAUCGGUUCGUGAGAACAUAAAAACUCAUGCUUCAAUAUCUACAUCAACUUCUCCUAUUAAGGAGUUGGAAGAAACUGCUUCUGAAGUAAUAAAAACUCAAGAUAAUGUCCCUCCACCAGUUCCUAUGUUGUCGCCAACUCCUAUUCGAGCUUCAGAAACUCCUGUUGGACCUUCACCCGUCCCUUCGGUUGCUUCAAUAGAAAGGGGGACAUCACCUCCACCUCAAAGUAUCGCUACUCAGACUUAUGAAGUACCUCCUAAAAAUAAUGGAGUUGGAAAAAAAUCUAAAGAAUAUCGCGAUCAAAAAGGAAUUUAUCAAGAUGAAAGUGAUGGCGAGGAAAUAAGAUACACAAAUAGUCCAGAUUUGUAUCCUCGAGUCCAUUAUCAGCAUAUUAAUCAACCAACUUCGUCUCAUGGAACAAGAAGAAAUUCUAUUGAUUCAACGCAUCUUUAUUUUCAUCCUAGGGACAUUAAUCAAUCGAGAUAUCAUCAAGACUCGCCAACAAUUGGACUGGUGUCUCCAAGUGUAUCGACUCUGACUCGUCAAGGCUUGGAGAUUGUUGAACUUUUACGAGAAGCUGAACGUCAAGGAUUUUCAGCUGAUGACAUUCAAGUGGCACUGGCACAAGGCGCUGUUAAUCCUAUUGAUUGGCUAAUAAAUCAGUGGCCACAUCUCAUUGAAACUGUUCAAAUUCUCGUUUCGACGAGGGGAAAAGAAAUGCCUGAUUGUAAAAAUGACAUUGGAUUUUUAUCGAUUGUUGAAGCGAAAGAAGUUUUGCGCGUCUGUAAAGGUGAUGUUUGGACGAGUGUCACUCGUGCUAUUCAACUCAGGCAACAAAAGGUCGCCGGAAUAAAAGCUAAAGGUAAUUUUUCAUUAGUUGAUGUUGUUCGAGCACUUGAUAAUAAUGCAGGCAAUGAAGAUCUAGCAUUAUUAGAAUUACAAAAAAAUCAAUUGAAACCAUUUCUAAUGCGUAUAUGGGGUCCGCCUGCUGGGGUGGAAAAUGAUGAAGCUGCUCCUCCUAAGGAUGCAGCGAAUGAAGCUGGUGUGGCGGGGUUGAGUGAACUCGUAGGAGGAGCGAUGGAUUUGGAUGCACUGAAGCAGGUAAUACCUUCACUUGAUAAUUUAGCAGAGUUGCAGGCUGGGUGUAAGCAGGAUUCGACAAGAACAAAACCAACUGAUCAGUUGUUGAAAAAUGUUCAGGAGGCGGAUGACAAAAAUAUUGGUAAUAAUUCUAAUGAUUUAUCCAACAGUUUUAAAGACAGCGACCAACCUUGCACUUCACCAAGCUCGAAGACUGAUCUGAACAAAUUAGAAUCUGGAAAAAUUUUACUUCAAGAAAAUGGAGAUAUUGGAAAUAAAAUCGAAUCUGCUGAGCAAAAAUCAGAUAAAAAAGAUAUAGGGCAGACUGAAGAAAUUAAAAAUCAAUCGGAUAGUUCUGCGCAAAAUUUAGCUGUUGAAAAUUUAUUAUUAGCAACCAAAUCACUGACUGAACAAGUUCCUGUUGAAGAAUUGUCGCCUAAAUUGGAACCAGAAGUUGUUUCUAAUGAUAAAAUUGAUGAAGUAUUAAAUGUACCAAUUGAAACUCCUCAAGUGUCUACACAAGAAGCCGAAAUUGUUGAUAAAGAAGUAGUAAAGGAAGAAAAUAAAUUGGAAGUAAAUUUGCCCGUUAAAAUUUCUUCUAAAGAGUUAGUUGAAAUAGAACAAGAAGUAAUUAAAGAAAAAUCUAGUAAAGAAAAUGUUAAGUUAUCUAUUGAUGCUUCUAGUGAUUCAAAAAAACUUUUAGAAACUGAAGAAACUGUUUUAGAAACUAAUAGUCCUGUAAAAGAAGAAAUAAUUGUAGGUAGUGUAAGUGAAGUUGAUAAAUCGGACAUUCUUAAUAUUACCAAAAAUAAAGACGAGGAAGUAUUUGAUAAAGCGGUACGUAUUUCUGAAUCAGAAAUAAAAUUUAAGAGCCAAGAAAAACUAAAUCAAGCAACGCCGACCGUGUUAUCUGCGCCUCCAUCACGCAUGACUGCCCUUAAAUCAUUGAAAAAUCGAUUGACGAGUAUGAUAUCUAAAUUUCCAUCAAUGAAACUCAGUUAUGAGAAACCAGAGUCAAUUGGAACCAAUCAAGUUAAUUACAAAGAAUCAAUGGAUUCAUCGCUUUAUUCUCAUCCUAAUUUAAUUAUUAACAAUAUUAACCAACACGCUUCUAAUGGAAUUAAUAAUCAUAAUAAUACUGAUAAAUUAAAUGACGACAUUAUUUCACUUGAUUGCGCUUCAACUCAAAAUCAUUUGAAAACAUUUACAUCAUCUGCUACCAUUACACCCACAAACAAAGAGGUUGUUCAAAAGAUUAAUGGUAUUAAUAAAUAUAAUGAAACUAUUAACUCAGCUUCUUCUUCUGACGAUCAAGCAGUUUUAAAAAAUGUUGCAACAGAGUACGAAUCGCCUGUAUUUUUUCAGAAUACUCUGAGUAAUGCAGAAUCUUGGGAUAUUAAACGUAGCACUAUUUAUAUUGAACCUUUGAUGGUUAGUAAAGAUAAAAAAAAUGAAGACUAUAUUAAAAAUAAUGUAGAAGUAGUAGCAAACGUAGACGUAGAAGUUAAUGGGGAAAAUCAUGAGCUAAAAGAUCAAAAUUUAAAAAUAAAAAUAACAGAAACUGAAAAUAAUUAUAAAAACUUACAAAUUAAUCAAAAAGUAGAUAAUGUGAUGGAGUGUAAUAAUUUUGAAAAAAUUUAUAGUAAUGAAAAUAAAAUGCAAGUAGAUAUUGUUAAUGAAUCUGGAGAUAAAGAUGACUUGUUUGUUGACGCCUCUAGUUCACCUGAAACGUUUGAGCUAAAAAUUACAGAGGCUCCUUUGUUGAUUGUCAAUGAUGCUGCGCCUGUAGAAAACCCUCCGGUGGUUCGAGGCUCGUUAACAAUUAAUUUAUCACGAUUUUCCGAUAUGAAGGAAUUUACGACCGAAAUGCUUCAGUUUGCUAGCCAAGAAAUAUUAGAAAAUGUAUCAACAGGACCUCUGUCUCCUUUAGAAGCUGAGCUCCCGGAAAUUUUCUCCGCAAGUUCGAAGAUAGAAACGUCAAUUGAAAUAAAUGAAUCUGCAGUUAAAACUGACAGCGUUCAGACUAAUUAUUUCAUUCCCAAGCCGAAAGCGAGGUCUAAAUCACCGGUGAAGAGAUCAUUUGUGUUGAGAAAGUUACCCGCUCGUAAGUGCUUUGUCGGAACAAAAAGAAAUUUUAAUUUUGGAGGAGUACCAAAAGACACUGCGUUGACCAGAGCUAAAGAAUGUGCUGAUAAAAUUGCAGCCAAGUCAUUGAUGUCUAGUCGAAGUGUGAAUCAAGUUAAGAAAGCUGAGGUUGUUGAUGUGAAUCGAAAGGGUGAGUGUGAUAAAAAACAAGAAUUAGUUUCUCAGACAGAAAAGGUUGAAAGAGAAAAACAAAUGAAUUUGUCUAGUCAAAAAAUAGAUAAAGACUUUAUUAAUAAACCUACUCCGAAAAGUAAAUUACCUUCGCGGAUCCCGAUUUUCCAGAAGAAACCGUGGGCUGCGGGGCAAACGAUAUCUGUAGCUAGUCAAAAAAUAAUAGAAGUUAAUGUUUUGAAGCCUACUAAUUCGAGUUUUAAUGUCCCACGACGAACUAUUCCUGUCUUGCAGCCGUUGGUUGGACCUCCAGCUGAUAAUGAAAAUAAGAAUGGUGGAAAUGAAAGUAAUGAAGUGAGCAAAAAUGUUAAUGGUAAAGUACAAAGUGAAAAAGAAAAUAAAAAUUGUAUUUCUAAAUUGAGAGAUGAUGGAAAAUUAUUGAAAAAUAAUGAGACUGCUCAGAGUAAAGAUAGUCCAAAAAAUCUAAUUCGAGGGUUGACUUUUAUUAAAGAUGAAAAAGAUACUUUAGGUACUGAUAAAUCCAAGAUUAAUGAAUCCGUUAAUCCUGAAAUUGAUUCUAGAGAUGAAUUUAAUAAAUAUUCUUCUGAAGCAAGUAUAGAUGUAAGUGAUGAAGAAGAAGUCUAUGAUGAUGAUGAUGAUGAUGAUGAUGAAGAAGAAGAAGAAGAGGAGAUUGAAGAAAUAGAAAUCGAAGAUGAAGAAAGUUCCGAAGAAAUUAGUGAUGAAGAAGAAAUAGAAGAAGAAGAAGAAGAAGAAGAAUUAAGUGACUCUGAAACAACUGACACGAAUACAAAAAGUUCAGUAAUUAUGCGUCGAAUAAAUUCAAUUGAAGAACUUACUAACGCAGAAUUAAUGUUGAAGAAAACGUUAGAUAAUAUUAAAGCAGAGAUAUCUGAUUCAGAAUGUGAAGAAGUUAGCUCUAACUCUCAAAAGUCUGAAAGGAGUGAUGAAGCUGAGUUCUCUGAAUCAAAUGACUUACCAGAAGAUCCUAUUGAACUAAGUACUACAAAAAAUGACGUCGAUGUAGAAUCUACGAUUGUGUUAACUCUGCCUAAAACAAAAUCUACUGAAAUAGAAGGCGAAGAGAAUGCAGUCACUCAAAGUACGUCUAAAACAAUAAGACUAAAAGACUCAAAAGUAUUAAAAGUACGCGUGACUGAACCUGAGGUAGUUGUAAAUAAAAAAAAAGAGUCACGUAAACGGUUUUCUAUAGUCGCCGAAUAUGUUCAGCAGUUUGAAGGUGAUUCUUUAAAGCAUGAGAGGAGGAAUUCGAAAACUAAACAACAGGAAAGUGUCAAGAUUACACGAGACCAAUCACCCGUUAACGAGAGGGAGAGAACAGCAAGGCGCUUACUAGCAGAAGGACGAGUGUCCAGCUACGAUGAAGCCGAGAUAGCAGCAAGUUUAAUUGGUCUCAAGUUCCAAGAUGAUGAGGCGAUUCAUGCUGCUAAAGAAUGCACAAGCGUUGAAUCUGCAAUAGCAUUUCUUCAGCAAGAAUGUGAACUCUGUACUGGUCGUUUUGCUGUCAGCCAGAUGAUCUCAAUGCUUAAGUGCAUUCAUCGAUGCUGUAAUGACUGCGCAAAAAAUUAUUUCACCAUUCAGAUAAGCGAUCGCAAUAUAAUGGACGCCGUGUGUCCAUUCUGCAAGGAGCCCGACUUGAAAGAUGCUACAGAAGAUGAAGUUCUUGAGUACUUUAGUAUUUUAGACAUUCAAUUAAAGUCACUAUUAGAUCCACCGAUCCACGAGCUAUUUCAAAGGAAGCUGAGAGAUAGAACUUUGAUGCAAGAUCCUAAUUUUAAGUGGUGUGCUCAGUGUUCUAGUGGAUUUUAUGCAAAUCCAAAUCAGAAACGAUUGAUAUGUCCAGAUUGUCGAUCUGUUACUUGUGCAUUUUGUCGAAAGCCGUGGGAAAAACAGCAUGAAGGUAUUACAUGCGAACAAUUCGAAGAAUGGAAAAAUGAAAAUGAUCCUGAUAAUCAAGCAAUAGGAUUAGCUAAACAUUUAGCAGAUAAUGGAAUUGAUUGUCCUAAAUGUAAAUUCCGUUAUUCCUUAUCACGCGGAGGUUGUAUGCAUUUUACGUGUAAUCAAUGUAAGUAUGAAUUUUGCUGUGGCUGUGGAAAAGCUUUUAUGAUGGGUGCCAAGUGUACAGUCAGUCCCUAUUGCGCAAAACUUGGUCUUCAUUCUCAUCACCCACGAAAUUGUCUUUUCUAUCUUCGUGAUAAAGAACCAGCUCAAUUACAAAGUCUUUUGAAAGGCCACGGCAUUGAAUUUAACACCGAAAAUUUAUCAGGAGAUCGCAAAUGCAAGGUUCAACUGCAAAAAGAAACACCGACUGGAGUUGUAGAUGCCGUUUGUAACUCAGACGUUGUGGAAAAUCACGCCGGACUAUGCAGCACUACGUUGAGUACUUGGCAGGCCUGGUACUCAAGUCAAAACUGGACCCUGUGACGAUAUUUGAUUUGAACGAGACGAAGCAGGAGUUGCGCCGCCGGGGAAAAGUCCCGCCUAUCAAAGCACAAGAAAUGUCCGAGCAGGAUUACCUCAGGACGUGUAUUCAGGUAGUGCAAAAAGAAAUUCCACUGGAGUAAUCGUUAUUAUUUUUAAUAUCUAAAUUUUAUGUAUUUAUUGUUACUCUAUUAAUUAAUUACAUAUAGUAUUGUUUUAAAUAAUGUAAUAUUUAAAUAAAUUAUUCAAAAAUUA
rnacentral:misc_RNA from 1 species